CAGCCGCCGCGGGAAUACGGAGGGGGCUAGCGUUGUUCGGAAUUACUGGGCGUAAAGCGCACGUAGGCGGCUUUUUAAGUCAGAGGUGAAAGCCCGGGGCUCAACUCCGGAACUGCCUUUGAGACUGGAAGGCUUGAACGUCGGAGAGGUGAGUGGAAUUCCGAGUGUAGAGGCGAAAUUCGUAGAUAUUCGGAAGAACACCAGUGGCGAAGGCGGCUCACUGGACGACUGUUGACGCUGAGGUACGAAAGCGUGGGGAGCAAACAGGAUUAGAUACCCCGGUAGUCCCUGUCUCUUAUAC
rnacentral:rRNA from 1 species